rnacentral:lncRNA from 1 species
GACUUGGACCUCACCGACCCACAGCUCCGGCCGUGUUGGGACGGACCCCGCUUUUUAUCCACCACAAAUGAAUGGGGAAUGGGAGCUUAAUAAAGUGCUGCCAGCACCGCGCUGGGCUGCAGAGGAGGUGGGCAGAGCUCUGCAGUGCAUUUGUCCCCGAGAUGUCCCGCAGUGAAAUGCUGCCCAGGGAGAGGUUUGGGAUUGUGGGGUCGGCUCUGGGGUGUGCGCUGUAGGAGAGCUAAUUGGGCUGUAAUUAAUGGGAAUGAGUGAUGCCUGAUGGAAAGAGCCUGCCCAGCACUGGAAGGGGAUGAGUGCUGGGGGGCACUGGCUGUCAAUGUGGGGUGUUGGCUGUUCCUAUGGGGUGCUGGUAUCCCUGUUGGGUGCUGGUUGUCCCUAUGGGGUUCUGGAUGUCCCUAUGGGGUACUGGCUGUCUCUAUGGGGUACUGGCUCUCCUCAUGGAAUGCUGUCCCUAUGGGGUGCUGGCUGUCCCUGUUUGGUACUGGCUGUCCCUAUGGGGUGCAGACUGUCUCUAUGGGGUGUUGGUUGUCCCUAUGGGGUGCUGCUGUCCUCGUAGAGUGCUAUCCCUAUGGGGUGCUGGUGGUCCCUAUGUAGUGCUGGCUGUCUCUAUGGGCUGUUGGCUGUCUCUAUGAGGUGCUGGUUGUCCCUAUGGGGUUCUAGCUGUCCCUAUGGGGUUCUGGAUGUCCCUGUGGGGUGCUGGCUGUCACUGUUGGGUGCUGGUUGUCCCUAUGGGGUUCUGGAUGUCCCUGUGGGGUGCUGGCUGUCACUGUGGGUGCUGGCUGUUCCUGUUGUGUGCUGGUUGUCCCUAUGGGGUUCUGGAUGUCCCUGUGGGGUGCUGGCUGUCACUGUUGGGUGCUGGUUGUCCCUAUGGGGUUCUGGAUGUCCCUGUGGGGUGCUGGCUGUCUCUAUGGGGUGCUGGCUGUCAUUGUGGGGUGUUGGCUGUCCCUAUGGAGUACUGUCUGUCUCUAUGAGGUACUGGCUCUCCUUAUGGAAUGCUGUCCCUGUGGGGUGCUGGCUGUCUCUAUGUGGUUCUGGAUGUCCCUAUGGGGUGCUGGCUGUCACUGUGGGGUGCUGGAUGUCCCUAUGGGGUUCUGGCUGUUCCUGUUGGGUGCUUGUUGUCCCUAUGGGGUUCUGGAUGUCCCUAUGGGGUGCUGGCUGUCACUGUGGGUGCUGGCUGUUCCUGUUGUGUGCUUGUUGUCCCUAUGGGGUUCUGGAUGUCCCUAUGGGGUGCUGGCUGUCAUUGUGGGGUUCUCACUGUCCCUAUGGGGUGCUGGCUGUCAUUGUGGGCCUGUUUGGUGCUGGCUGUCCCUAUGGGGUGCAAACUGUCUCUAUGGGGUGUUGGUUGUCCCUAUGGGGUGCUGCUGUCCUCAUAUAGUGCUAUCCCUAUGGGAUGCUGGUGGUCUCUAUGUGGUGCUGGCUAUGUCUAUGGGGCGUUGGCUGUCUCUAUGGGGUGCUGGUUGUCCCUAUUGGGGUGCUAGCUGUCCCUAUAGGGUGCUGGCUAUCCCUAUGGGGUACUGGCUCUCCUCAUGGAGUGCUGUCCUUGUGGGGUGCUGACUGUCCCAAUGGGGUUCUGGCUGUCCUUGUUGGUACCUGGUUGUCCCUAUUGAGUGCUGACUGUCCCCAUGGAGUACUGGCUGUCCUUGUGGGGUGCUGGCUGUCUCUAUGGGGUGUUGUUGUUGUCCCUAUGGGGUGCUGCUGUCCUCAUGGAGUGCUAUCCCUAUGGGGUAGUGGCUGUUCCUAUGGGGUGCCGGACGUCUCUAUGUGGUGCUGGCCAUCCCUGUGGGGUGCUGGCUGUCCUUGUGGGGUGCUGCUGUCCCUGUGGGGUGCUGCAGUGCACAGACAAGGGGCUGAUGUCCCCAAGUGAUGGGUGUUACCAUCCUGGGGGUCCCUGAUUUCAGCGUUCCCAUGGCCAUUCUGCAAUGAGCAUCAUACCCUGACACACCUCCAGCAGUGCUGGGGAGACGUGGGAUUUGUGGGAUUUCACAGCACCCCCCCUCCCUCCUCCUCCUUCCCCACAUGGGGGGCACUGGUUGGGUUUGCAGCACGGCCAGAGGAAUCCUCAGGGAGCUGAGGAAGGAGCACGAGCAGCCACGAUCCCCACCAUAUGGACUGGAAGAGCUGAAGAUGUUUUACAUCCCCUACAUCAUCAUCAUCAUUAUUGUUAUUACUAUUAUUAUUUUUUUUUUUGGACAGUUCAGUUUUUUUAAGUACUUUUGAAGACCUGUGUAUGAAAAUGCAUUCUGGACUCCCAACCCCACACCCAAGCGCUGCCCCCAUCACUGUCCUCAUUCAGCCCUCUCCAUCCCAUCCCCAUCCCAUUCUUGUCCCCAUCCCAUCCCCAAUCCCAACCCCUCUCCGGCUCCUGAAGGGAACUGAUAAACAGGAAUAGAGCUGGAUGGGGUCCUGGGCAUCCUGAUUUGGUGGUGGCACUCAGACCAUGGCAGGGGGUGGUGCUGGGGGGUAUUUGGGGCCCCUUCCAACCCAACCAUUCUAUGAUUUCUCAUCCAACUCAACAAUUCUAUGGUUCUAUGAUCUUUAAGGAUCCUUCCAACUCAACCCCAGCCCAGCCCCCAACCCCAACCCAAUGCAUCCCAUCCCAACCCAACACCAACACAGCACAACACAACCCCAAUCCAAUCCCAGCUCAACCCCAAACCCAACCCAGCCCCAACNNNNNNNNNNNNNNNNNNNNNNNNNNNNNNNNNNNNNNNNNNNNNNNNNNNNNNNNNNNNNNNNNNNNNNNNNNNNNNNNNNNNNNNNNNNNNNNNNNNNUGCCAACCCAACCCCAACCUCCCAACCACCAACCCCAGCACCAAUCCCAAAUCCAAUCCCAACCCAACCAACUUCAACCCAACUCAACCCAAUGCAACCCAACCCAACCUCAACACAACCCCAGCACAAUCCCAAAUCCAAUCCCAACCCAACCAACUUCAACCCAACUCAACCCAAUGCAACCCAACUCAACCCCAACACAACUCCAGCUCAAUCCCAAAUCCAAUCCCAACCCAACCCCAACUCCAACACAACACAACCCAAUGCAACCCAACCUCAACACAACUCCAGCACAAUCCCAAAUCCAAUCCCAACUCAACCCCAACUCCAACACAACACAACCCCAACUCAACCCUAACCCAACCCCAAACCCAACCCAACCUCAACCCAACUCCAACACAAUGUAACUCAACCCCAGACCAACCCCAACCCCAAUUCAAUCCAACCCCAACCCAAUUCAAUCCCAACCUCAAUCCCAGCACAACCCCGAUACAACAGCCCCAUCACAAAAUUCCAAACCUACCCCAAAGCCACUCCAACCUCAAUCCAACUCAAUCCCAACCCCAACUCCAACCCAAACCCAAUCCCAACUUCAACACAACUCCAACUCAAACCCAAUCCAACUCUGAACCCCAACCCCAACCCUUCUCCUUCUCCAACCCAAACUCAAUCUCAACCCCAACCCAGUGCAACCCAGUCCAAUCCCAACCCCGAUUCAAUCCAACUCCAACCCAACCCCAACUCCAACCCCAACUGUAAGCCAACUCUCCAACUCCAACCCAAACUCAAUCCCAGCCCAACCCCAACCCAACUCUGACCUCAACUGAACCCAACCCAUCCCCAAACCCCAACCCAACCCCAACCCGAACUCAAUCCCAACCCAAUCCCAACCACAACCUCAACUCAAUCCCAACCCUAACUCAACCCCAGUGCCAACCUAACCCGCAACCUAACCCCAACCCCAACCCAACACCAACCCUAAACAUAACCCAACGCCAACCCAACCCCAAAUUCAACUAAAUCCCAACGCCAAUCCAACCCCAACUCAAUCCCAACCCAAACCCAACCUCUACUCAAUCCCAUCCCUAACCCAACCCCAACGCCAACCCAACCCCAACUCAAUCCCAAUCCCAAUACCAAUUCCAACACCAACCCAACCCCAACUCAGUCCCAACCCAACCCCAACCCCAACUCAGUCCCAACCCAACCCCAAUCCC